GGCUCCUUCGUCUAAAUGGUUAGGACAUGACGCUUUCAAUGUCAUAAUGUAGAGUUCGAAUCUCACAGGAGUCA
rnacentral:tRNA from 1 species